rnacentral:lncRNA from 1 species
CAAUUUUAUGUGUUGUGGAUUGCAACGGCAUCUCCAAGAAUUACUUCUGAUUGAAGGUUCAGAGUAGUCUUUGUUAACAUGGCGACUGCUAUGAUUACGUGCGGUGAAACCAUUAUCCAUACGCUUGGCUGGUUUUGUUGAAGGAUUACUGCUGCUAUAUAAGUAGUCCUUGCGGUUGGAUUGAUAAUUCUGGGACGCCGAGCCUUCCGCCUUUCUGAGCCUU